rnacentral:lncRNA from 1 species
GAGUUUUAAAAGUGGGUGGGCUUCUCCUUCUUACUUUUUAAGAACGAGUCUCUUAUAUUAAUCUCAAAUGCCACACACGGCUUCUUACACGUUAAGCACGCGGUUUAAUUUAUAUAAAUAACGUAUGUCGGCCCUCUCUUAGCUCCCCAACAAUUGUCCAUCUGCUGCGUCGAACCAUCCAUUGCCAUUAGCAGCAGCCGCCAACACACACACAGAAAAAAAAAAAAAACAAGAACGAGGUCACCAUUUGAUAAUGCCACUCGACAUGCCUGCUCCAACUCCACCGUUAGUCUGGCGCCUCGUUGGAUCCCUAAACGAGGCAAGUUCUGAAGGAUUCAUUAAAGAAAAUGUCCUCUUUCUUUGGACUCUGUUUUGGAAAGUAGAGCCUCUUCCAUUCAUCAGCAACAAGGGCUGUUUCUUCUUGAUGCCAUCUUGCUCUCGUUACUUCUUCGAUUUUUGCGAGAGGCGUUUCUUUAACUUGGUUGCUGUAGGCCUUUUUUGAAUUUUGUUUUUCGAUUUCUAGCUACUAGCUAGGUAUAAUGAUCAAUGAGUCUUCAAAGUGAUUGAUUAGUUAAUAAUGGGUCUAUCGUGGGAGUUAUAGAAGGAAAGCAAUCUCACUCGUUUCUCCGAUCCGGGAAUGGAAGUGCUUGGAAAUGAAGAACAAUUGGGAGGUUUUGGGGUCACAGAUAGAUGUU